CAGCCAUUAGCAUACUCCCCGCUUUCCCUAGGGUCUACAGUGUCGAACGUUGCGAUUCCGAUGUUGGCGGCGCUGCGAUCUCGCUUUUUCCUUUCCACUUCACCAUCAUCUUCUUUCAUCCAUCGAUCAUGGAAGCUAGGGUUUUCAGGUUCCAGCCACACUUUCUUUUCAUCAACUGUCGAAUCCAGCAGCAGCAACAAAGGUUUACUGGACAUAAACGAGGUUGAGAACGUUCUCAAAGACGUGAGAGCGGACGACGUGAAAGUGAUACCAGUCGGAAAGCACUGUGAUUGGGCUGAUUAUAUGGUGGUCGCCACCGGUAGGUCGACAUGGCAUGUCAAGAACAUCGCUCAGGCACUUAUUUACAAGGCUAAGGAAAAGCAGAGAGGAGCUCAGCGGAUGAUGCUUCCAAGCUUGGAAGGGCAAGAGGGAGGAAAGUGGAUUGUCAUUGAUUCUGGUAAGGUGAUAAUUCAUGCUCUUGAUGAGAAGGCCAGAGAUCUUCCAAAUUGUAAUAAGCUC
rnacentral:misc_RNA from 1 species